CAUGCCGUAAACGAUGAGUGCUAAGUGUUAGGGGGUUUCCGCCCCUUAGUGCUGCAGCUAACGCAUUAAGCACUCCGCCUGGGGAGUACGACCGCAAGGUUGAAACUCAAAGGAAUUGACGGGGGCCCGCACAAGCGGUGGAGCAUGUGGUUUAAUUCGAAGCAACGCGAAGAACCUUACCAGGUCUUGACAUCCCGAUGACCGCUCUAGAGAUAGAGCCAUAACAAGUUCACACAGGUGG
rnacentral:rRNA from 1 species